GACCUGUCAGGCACACAUUUUUCAAUAGCUAAAUAAAUCGCGGACUGUAUGAAGGACCCGCUCUUUCUAAAUCCCUGUCAUUUCAGCAGUGUCUUUCUGGUUGACACUACGAUUGACAUGAAUCAGCUCUUCCACUCACACUUGAUGCUGUGCAUCUGUGGCUCUUAUGGGGCGCCCCCUACAGGCCUGGUCAUACAGACUCCUUGUGGCUUUGGAUUUUCAACCUUUAAACUC